CCAAACCUAUAGCUGAAAUAACAUUAAAGUUACAAGACAGUGAGCUCCAACGACUUGUGGACCAAGCGAUUUGGGGACUCGUGUCAAAAGAAGCCUGGGUACAUAGAAAUGGUAUACAGAGAGGAAUCCUUGUUCACCCUACUUGGGAAGAGUCGAGAAUUUAGCCUGAUGUAUGCGGUCUCACCGGAAUUCGCAUGGAAGUUUUCGGACUCUUCUAAGAACUUUGGAAUGCCUUACCGGCCGCUAAGCCUAUGGACAUCCUACGUGUAAGCUGGUUAUUGCCGCAUCUUAACCAAAUGCCUUUAGCCUAGUGGUAUCAAAUAAUAGGUAGUGCCAAGUAGAGACAAUUGUUUAUUUAGGUAAAUGUAGAUAAUUGUCUUUUAAAAAACCUUGUAAUUUGGCCUUGGUUAAUGUCUAUACAGAGCUUACUAAGAGGCAUAUUUCAUAACA